rnacentral:rRNA from 1 species
UACGUAGGGUGCAAGCGUUAAUCGGAAUUACUGGGCGUAAAGCGUGCGCAGGCGGUUUUGUAAGUCUGUCGUGAAAGCCCCGGGCUCAACCUGGGAAUGGCGAUGGAUACUGGCGAGCUAGAGUGUGUCAGAGGAUGGUGGAAUUCCCGGUGUAGCGGUGAAAUGCGUAGAGAUCGGGAGGAACAUCAGUGGCGAAGGCGGCCAUCUGGGACAACACUGACGCUGAAGCACGAAAGCGUGGGGAGCAAACAGG